rnacentral:rRNA from 1 species
AGCCCCAGUAACGGCGAGUGAAGCGGCAACAGCUCAAAUUUGAAAUCUGGCUCCUAGAGUCCGAAUUGUAAUUUGCAGAGGAUGCUUUUGAUGCGGUGCCUUCCGAGUUCCCUGGAACGGGACGCCAUAGAGGGUGAGAGCCCCGUCUGGUCGGAUGCCAAAUCUCUGUAAAGCUCCUUCGACGAGUCGAGUAGUUUGGGAAUGCUGCUCUAAAUGGGAGGUAUAUGUCUUCUAAAGCUAAAUAUUGGCCAGAGACCGAUAGCGCACAAGUAGAGUGAUCGAAAGAUGAAAAGCACUUUGAAAAGAGGGUUAAAAAGUACGUGAAAUUGUUGAAAGGGAAGCGCCUAUGACCAGACUUGGGCCCGGUGAAUCAUCCAGCGUUCUCGCUGGUGCACUUUGCCGGGCACAGGCCAGCAUCAGUUUGCCUUGGGGGAAAAAGGCUUUGGGAACGUAGCUCCUUCGGGAGUGUUAUAGACCAUUGCAUAAUACCCUGGGGCGGACUGAGGUUCGCGCAUCUGCAAGGAUGCUGGCGUAAUGGUCAUCAGCGACCCGUCUUGAAACACGGACCAAGGAGUCGUCUUCGUAUGCGAGUGUUCGGGUGUAAAACCCCUACGCGUAAUGAAAGUGAACGCAGGUGAGAGCUUCGGCGCAUCAUCGACCGAUCCUGAUGUUCUCGGAUGGAUUUGAGUAAGAGCAUACGGGGCCGGACCCGAAAGAAGGUGAACUAUUCCUGUAUAGGGUGAAGCCAGAGGAAACUCUGGUGGAGGCUCGCAGCGGUUCUGACGUGCGAAUCGAUCGUCAAAUAUGGGAAUGGGGGGCGAAAGACUAAUCGAACCUUCUAGUAGCUGGUUUCGCGAG